ensembl:snoRNA Snord59a small nucleolar RNA, C/D box 59A
CCUUCUAUGAUGAUUUUUAUCAAAGUGACUUUCGUUCUUCUGAAUUUGCUGAAGCCACAAUUAGUUCCUGAGAAGG